GGAUCAUUAAUGAGUUAGGGUCUUCUAGGCCCGACCUCCCACCCUAUGUUUACUUGACCCUUGUUGCUUCGGCGGACCCGUCUUGGUAAAACGAGACCGCCGGAGGACGUCUUUCGAGACGUUCUCUGGCCCGCGUCCGCCGGGGACAUACACCUAAAAAUUCUUGAAUUAUCAACCAUGUCUUCUGAAUUAUAAUUAUAAAUUAAACAAAACUUUCAACAACGGAUCUCUUGGUUCUGGCAUCGAUGAAGAACGCAGCGAAAUGCGAUAAGUAAUGCGAAUUGCAGAAUUCCAGUGAGUCAUCGAAUCUUUGAACGCACAUUGCGCCCUUUGGUAUUCCGAAGGGCAUGCCUGUUCGAGCGUCAUUAUCACCCCUCAAACCCUGGGUUGCCUUUAACCGGGCCUCCCUAAAGUUUGGCGUUGGACGGUUGGUUCGAGUAAUCGAACCCCUCCCAAAGACAAUGACGGAGUCCUGUUCGACCCUCGGUACAUGGAGCACCUUUGCGGGAGCACGUGCCGGACCCCUAAAAGCGGUCGGGAGGACAUACGGUCACCACCUAUAUUUUUAACAAGGUUGACCUCGGAUCAGGUAGGGAUACCCGCUGAACUUAAGCAUAUCAAUAAGCGGAGGAAAAGAAACCAACAGGGAUUGCCUCAGUAACGGCGAGUGAAGCGGCAACAGCUCAAAUUUGAAAUCUGGCUUCCUUUGGGAGUCCGAGUUGUAAUUUGCAGAGGAUGUUUCGGGUACCGCUCCGGUUUAAAUUUCUUGGAACAGAAUGUCAGAGAGGGUGAGAAUCCCGUCUUGGACCGGCGGUAGGGCCCAUGUGAAACUCCCUCGACGAGUCGAGUUGUUUGGGAAUGCAGCUCAAAAUGGGUGGUAAAUUUCAUCUAAAGCUAAAUAUUGGCCAGAGACCGAUAGCGCACAAGUAGAGUGAUCGAAAGAUGAAAAGCACUUUGAAAAGAGAGUUAAACAGUAUGUGAAAUUGUUGAAAGGGAAGCGCUUGCGACCAGACUUGUACGCGGCGGUUCCCCGUCCUUUUGGGCGGGCUAUUCCGUCGUGUUCAGGCCAACAUCGGUUCUGGGGGUUGGUUAAAGGCUUAGGGAAUGUAUCUACCCUUUGGGCGUAGACUUAUAGCCCUAGGUGUCAUACAACCUCCCGGGACCGAGGAACGCGCUUCGGCUCGGAUGUUGGCGUAAUGGUCGUAAGCGACCCGUCUUGAAACACGGACCAAGGAGUCUAACAUUUAUGCGAGUGUUUGGGUGUCAAACCCGGAACGCGGAAUGAAAGUGAACGGAGGUAGGAAGCUUUUAGCUGCACUAUCGACCGAUCCUGAUGUCUUCGGAUGGAUUUGAGUAAGAGCAUAACUGUUGGGACCCGAAAGAUGGUGAACUAUGCCUGAAUAGGGUGAAGCCAGAGGAAACUCUGGUGGAGGCUCGCAGCGGUUCUGACGUGCAAAUCGAUCGUCAAAUUUAGGUAUAGGGGCGAAAGACUAAUCGAACCAU
rnacentral:rRNA from 1 species